AGAGCCCUUACGAUGGGAACUGACCCACAAUGCAACUCUUCCAGCUGGGUUGAAAUGCAGGAAGUGGCUUCUCGCAGGCCUCUCCCUCUGCUGCAGUCAACAGGACAUGCUCUGAGGAUAUGGGAUCAUGCAGAGCCUUUCUGCGACGACUCCUGGUGGGCAAUGGCGCCUAUUAACACAAACAGCGGACUGUGUGUAGAGCUCUGGGGCCAUUUUAAAAGGCAAUCAUAUGGGCUGUAAACGCAUACUGAAGUCCUCUUAUAUGACAACGAGAACCAUCUAUUUAAAUUGACUUUACAGUGCAAAGACCGUUUUACUGCCACCGUGCCAGCAAAGUCUCCAAGAUCUAGCAUCAGAAUAUGGAGUAAGUCAGGCUUUGGCUUAAUGUCCUGGGACAUCGAGUAACCACAGGCUAAUGAGAUGGCCGAACCCUAGACGCUUGACACAGAAUUCAAUUAGACAGCACUCUCACUACCUUUUACAGAGAUGAAUACUGCAGACAUUUCAUCCAUAAAUUUCUUACCUGGCAAAAACGUCCACUGCGAUGUUGUCCUGACUGCGCUGGAGUUCAUGAUGAUGGGAUGUCUACUGUACUUUGAGACCCAUGAAAACCUUCUCCAACAAGCUCCAGUGAGGGAUUUAGAAAGGUACUUGACAG
ensembl:lncRNA